rnacentral:rRNA from 1 species
GACGAACGCUGGCGGCGUGCCUAAUACAUGCAAGUCGAACGCACUCUCGUUUAGAUUGAAGGAGCUUGCUCCUGAUUGAUAAACAUUUGAGUGAGUGGCGGACGGGUGAGUAACACGUGGGUAACCUGCCCUAAAGUGGGGGAUAACAUUUGGAAACAGAUGCUAAUACCGCAUAAAACCCAACACCGCAUGGUGUAGGGUUGAAAGAUGGUUUCGGCUAUCACUUUAGGAUGGACCCGCGGUGCAUUAGUUAGUUGGUGAGGUAAAGGCUCACCAAGACCGUGAUGCAUAGCCGACCUGAGAGGGUAAUCGGCCACACUGGGACUGAGACACGGCCCAGACUCCUACGGGAGGCAGCAGUAGGGAAUCUUCCACAAUGGACGAAAGUCUGAUGGAGCAACGCCGCGUGAGUGAAGAAGGUUUUCGGAUCGUAAAACUCUGUUGUUGGAGAAGAAUGUAUCUGAUAGUAACUGAUCAGGUAGUGACGGUAUCCAACCAGAAAGCCA